rnacentral:rRNA from 1 species
CAGCAGCCGCGGUAAUACAGAGGGUGCGAGCGUUAAUCGGAUUUACUGGGCGUAAAGCGUGCGUAGGCGGCUAAUUGAGUCGGAUGUGAAAUCCCCGAGCUUAACUUGGGAAUUGCAUUCGAUACUGGUUAGCUAGAGUGUGGGAGAGGAUGGUAGAAUUACAGGUGUAGCGGUGAAAUGCGUAGAGAUCUGGAGGAAUACCGAUGGCGAAGGCAGCCAUCUGGCCUAACACUGACGCUGAGGUACGAAAGCAUGGGGAGCAAACAGGAUUAGAUACCCCAGUAGUCCCUGUCUCUUAUAC